ACCAAGGCGCUUGAGAGAACUCGGGUGAAGGAACUAGGCAAAAUGGUGCCGUAACUUCGGGAGAAGGCACGCUGGUGUGUAGGUGAAGUCCCUGCGGAUGGAGCUGAGACCAGUCGAAGAUACCAGCUGGCUGCAACUGUUUAUUAAAAACACAGCACUGUGCAAACACGAAAGUGGACGUAUACGGUGUGACGCCUGCCCGGUGCCGGAAGGUUAAUUGAUGGGGUUAUCCGUAAGGAGAAGCUCUUGAUCGAAGCCCCGGUAAACGGCGGCCGUAACUAUAACGGUCCUAAGGUAGCGAAAUUCCUUGUCGGGUAAGUUCCGACCUGCACGAAUGGCGUAAUGAUGGCCAGGCUGUCUCCACCCGAGACUCAGUGAAAUUGAACUCGCUGUGAAGAUGCAGUGUACCCGCGGCAAGACGGAAAGACCCCGUGAACCUUUACUAUAGCUUGACACUGAACAUUGAGCCUUGAUGUGUAGGAUAGGUGGGAGGCUUUGAAGCGUGGACGCCAGUCUGCGUGGAGCCAACCUUGAAAUACCACCCUUUAAUGUUUGAUGUUCUAACGUUGGCCCCUGACCGGGGUUGCGGACAGUGUCUGGUGGGUAGUUUGACUGGGGCGGUCUCCUCCCAAAGCGUAACGGAGGAGCACGAAGGUUAGCUAAUCCUGGUCGGACAUCAGGAGGUUAGUGCAAUGGCAUAAGCUAGCUUGACUGCGAGCGUGACGGCGCGAGCAGGUGCGAAAGCAGGUCAUAGUGAUCCGGUGGUUCUGAAUGGAAGGGCCAUCGCUCAACGGAUAAAAGGUACUCCGGGGAUAACAGGCUGAUACCGCCCAAGAGUUCAUAUCGACGGCGGUGUUUGGCACCUCGAUGUCGGCUCAUCACAUCCUGGGGCUGAAGUAGGUCCCAAGGGUAUGGCUGUUCGCCAUUUAAAGUGGUACGCGAGCUGGGUUUAGAACGUCGUGAGACAGUUCGGUCCCUAUCUGCCGUGGGCGCUGGAGAAUUGAGGGGGGCUGCUCCUAGUACGAGAGGACCGGAGUGGACGCAUCACUGGUGUUCGGGUUGUCAUGCCAAUGGCACUGCCCGGUAGCUAAAUGCGGAAGAGAUAAGUGCUGAAAGCAUCUAAGCACGAAACUUGCCCCGAGAUGAGUUCUCCCUGAGACUUUAAGUCUCCUGAAGGAACGUUGAAGACGACGACGUUGAUAGGCCGGGUGUGUAAGCGCAGCGAUGCGUUGAGCUAACCGGUACUAAUGAACCGUGAGGCUUAACCUU
rnacentral:rRNA from 1 species